UCCAAUUAGCAGGUGAAACUGCGCAGCACGAUCUGAUCUUAGGCAUCCGAAGUUUGCCAGUAAAAGAAAUUAAGAUCAGAUCAUGCUGGCAGCUUCAGCUGCUUAAGGU
rnacentral:pre_miRNA from 1 species